rnacentral:rRNA from 1 species
AUUGAGAAGAUCACAUUUUUAGCAUCUUAUCUCGUCUGAUCUUGAAAGCUAAGCCGGUUUGGAUCUGGUUAGUGCUUAGAUGUGAGAGCGCUGAGAAUACCAAAUGCAGUA